AUUCAUUAUAAGCUAAGUAUUUCGAUAUAAUCAACCAAAGCAUUCAACAAGAUGUCGGACAUCUGUCCUCCCGGAAAAAAGGAAUGGCCAGAACUGGUGGGUAUAGAAUAUUCUAUCGCUGCUAGGAUAAUAGAAAGGGAGAAUCCUCAUGUCAAAGCACAAAAGAUUAUCGCGGGGAGUCCGAGAAUUAUGAAUUACAAUCCUGGACGAGUUUGGGUUGAUGUCAAUGUUGAGAAUAAGUGUGUUUUAAUUCCUAAAGCAGGUUAAGGGAUGUAAUAUGAUAAAAUAUAUGAAAUUACUAAUAAAGUAGUGUGUGACUACCGUUUUAAUUA